rnacentral:rRNA from 1 species
UACGUAGGGGGCGAGCGUUGUCCGGAAUUAUUGGGCGUAAAGAGCGUGUAGGCGGUUCGGUAAGUCUGCCGUGAAAACCUGGGGCUCAACCCUGGGCGUGCGGUGGAUACUGCCGGGCUAGAGGGUGGUAGAGGCGAGUGGAAUUCCCGGUGUAGCGGUGAAAUGCGCAGAUAUCGGGAGGAACACCAGUAGCGAAGGCGGCUCGCUGGGCCAUUCCUGACGCUGAGACGCGAAAGCUAGGGGAGCGAACAGG